AUUGAACGCUGGCGGCAGGCCUAACACAUGCAAGUCGAACGGUAACAGGAAGAAGCUUGCUUCUUUGCUGACGAGUGGCGGACGGGUGAGUAAUGUCUGGGAAACUGCCUGAUGGAGGGGGAUAACUACUGGAAACGGUAGCUAAUACCGCAUAACGUCGCAAGACCAAAGAGGGGGACCUUCGGGCCUCUUGCCAUCGGAUGUGCCCAGAUGGGAUUAGCUAGUAGGUGGGGUAACGGCUCACCUAGGCGACGAUCCCUAGCUGGUCUGAGAGGAUGACCAGCCACACUGGAACUGAGACACGGUACAGACUCCUACGGGAGGCAGCAGUGGGGAAUAUUGCACAAUGGGCGCAAGCCUGAUGAAGCCAUGCCGCGUGUAUGAAGAAGGCCUUCGGGUUGUAAAGUACUUUCAGCGGGGAGGAAGGGAGUAAAGUUAAUACCUUUGCUCAUUGACGUUACCCGCAGAAGAAGCACCGGCUAACUCCGUG
rnacentral:rRNA from 1 species